rnacentral:misc_RNA from 1 species
UCUCCGUUGGUGAACCAGCGGAGGGAUCAUUACCGAGUUUUUCUACUCCAAAACCCCUGUGAACUUAUACCUUUACUGUUGCUUCGGCGGGUUAACGCCCCGGAAGGCCCACAAAGCCGCCGAAACCAGCCGCCGGCCGGGGAACCCAAACUCUUGUAGUUCUUACUUUGCAUGUCUGGGUGGACGCAUAAACAAAUAAAUCAAAACUUUCAACAACGGAUCUCUUGGUUCUG